GGGGGUGGAGGACCUGUAGAGCUAGAGGGCCUAUGAGAGGAUGAUGGUCCAAGAGAAGGUGAAGCUCCAAUAGAUGGUCCUUGAGAAGAUGAAGGUCCAUGAGAAGGUCCUUGUGGUAGAGGACGAAUACUAUGUGAACCAAUCUUGCAAAGCCUCUCAAUGUGACCCUUCUUUGGCUUGUAGAUGGGAUGGCCCUUAUCCGUUAGAAUCUCCAACUUGAUCACUUCCUUGAUCAUAGCAAAGAUAUAUGGAGCAUAGUG
rnacentral:lncRNA from 1 species